GGAUGUGUAGCUCAGUUGGAAGAGCAAGGAAAACUAGUCCAAGCUGUGUAUCAAGUGAAGUGGAUGGGAGAUGGAUGGGAAUAAAACUUGAUUAAAAAACAGCUAGACUCUGGGACAGAUCCCAGGCCCCUGGUCGCACGAUCGAAACGUGUCACAUCCA